CCUGGCGGAUCCAGUCCAUGUAGUAACCACUGAAGUCAAAACCGGAGGCUGCACAGGAGAGUCUCAGGGACCCCCCAGGCUGCACCAAGCCUCCCCCAGACUCCACCAGCUGCACUUCACACUGC